GACGAACGCUGGCGGCGUGCUUAACACAUGCAAGUCGAACGGAAAGGCCCUGCUUUUGUGGGGUGCUCGAGUGGCGAACGGGUGAGUAACACGUGAGUAACCUGCCCUUGACUUUGGGAUAACGUCAGGAAACUGGGGCUAAUACCGGAGAGGAGCUCCUGCUGCAUGGUGGGGGUUGGAAAGUUUCGGUGGUGGUGGAUGGACUCGCGGCUUAUCAGCUUGUUGGUGGGGUAGUGGCUUACCAAGGCUUUGACGGGUAGCCGGCCUGAGAGGGUGAACGGCCACAUUGGGACUGAGAUACAGCCCAGACUCCUACGGGAGGCAGAAGUGGAGAAUAUUGCACCAUGGGAGGAAGCCUGAUGCAGCAACGCCGCGUGCGGGAUGACGGCCUUCGGGUUGUAAACCGCUUUCGCCUGUGACGAAGCGUGAGUGACGGUAAUGGGUAAAGAAGCACCGGCUAGCUACGUG
rnacentral:rRNA from 1 species